CCCCCGGCGCGGCGCUUUCAGUUUUGCCUCCCCCUUCGGCCCCGGCCGCGGCGGGCACCCGGGACUGCCUGGCCCUCGCGCGCGCCGUCCGCGCCUCCGCCCCGGGCUCUGACCGCUCUCCGGCCGCGCCGCGGGCUCAGCCGAUCCCGCUUUGUCUGCUCCUUAACUGGAGAUCGGGCCCCGCCGGGCUGCGGGGUCUCUCCCGCGGCGCGAGGGGUGCGGGAGGCAAGUCCUACCCUAGAUGCGCUCCCAGGAGGAAAAGUUUUUGGAUAUACUAAUAUGGAAAUAUCAGCAGCGCAAAGAAUGGAGAUCCUCAAGUAACUAGGUGUUUUCUUACUGAUCAGACUGAUGAAGAGCAAGGUGAAGGAGGAGGAGAGAAGAUGAUGAAAAUGCUGGUUACGUUAAUUAAGAAAGAAAACAAGAAACAAGCCAGCCUGCCAGCUCUUGUCGCUGGGAAAGUCAUAAAAACGAAGUGGUACAGGACAUAGCCCUUUGUGUCCGGCUAUUCACGCUUAGAGCACUGCCUUUCGGAUCCACCCACACUGUGCGUGCGUGCUGAGUAUUCCGUCGCAGGGGGACACUGCAGUCUGUUCAUCCAUCUGUCAGCCGGUGGAUGUGGGGGUUGUAUCUGGCUUUUGGUGAUAUGAAUAAAGCUGCGUUUAAGUCCUU